rnacentral:rRNA from 1 species
CCUACGGGAGGCAGCAGUGAGGAAUAUUGGUCAAUGGGCGCUAGCCUGAACCAGCCACGUAGCGUGAAGGAUGACUGCCCUAUGGGUUGUAAACUUCUUUUAUAUGGGAAUAAAGUGCAGUAUGUAUACUGCUUUGAAUGUACCUUAUGAAUAAGGAUCGGCUAACUCCGUGCCAGCAGCCGCGGUCAUACGGAGGGUCCGAGCGUUAUCCGGCUUUAUUGGGGUUAAAGGGAGCGUCGGGGGGUUGUUAAGUCAGUUGUGAAAGUUGGCGGCUCAAACGUAAAAUUGCAUUUGAUACUGGCAGCAUUGAGUACAGGAGAGGUAGGCGGAAUUCGUGGUGUAGCGGUGAAAUGCGUAGAUAUCACGAAGAACUCCGAUUGCGAAGGCAGCCUGCUGGACUGUAACUGACGCUGAUGCUCGAAAGUGUGGGUAUCAAACAGGAUUAGAUACCCCUGUAGUC